UCCUUCUUAGCUCAGUUGGUAGAGCGCAUCUUCAGUAUACUUAUGACGAGGCCAGUCGUUCAACUCGGCUAGAAGGAU